CUGCUGGACUGGAGGAGAACUGAACAGGCUCGCUCUGGGAGGAGAUGCCAGCCCAGAACCGUUUCUGAUGGCAACCGAACCAAAUGUUAUAUUGGACAUCCUGACGCCCUCCCGUCUGCAGCUGAGCAGCAGGUUCUGCAUUAGAGGCCACAGUAAAGACAAACUGUGCCUCUCUUGGAGGUGCGUCGGAGCAGGUAGGCAAUCAGCAGUUGCACUCGAGGACUGGAGUUGCAUCCCUGUGAUCUGCAGUGACGCUGAGGUUUACAGCUGAAAUCCUGUGAGGUCACAUGUGACACGAGAGCGGUGAUUCGCCGUGAACUCGUAGAGUUUCCAGUCCGACUGCUUACAUCCACGUAAUCCCUGCUGAAGUGUGCCGCUGGGAUUAUGGACAUUCCCCAUCGCCUGAUUGUGUGUUUGAACGUCCACAGCUGGUGGUCUGACCGCAGAGAGAGUCUCUCUGAUGGGAGUGGAAGGAUUAGGGUCAGCUGGUCCAAACCAACUGCUUUUACUAGAGGGGAGGUCACUGUAUGAUGAACUUUAACCUUUUCCAGGAUCAAAUCUGGAUCACAGAAUUUUAAUAUCCAGGGUGUGGAUUCAAUUUAUCUGAGUAAUAAGUAAAUAAUAAUAAAUAAAAAAACAUAUUUUAAAUAGUUAGAAUCACUAUGUUUGGUUCCUUAAAGUGAUCCUCAUUAGUCCUGGAUGUAUCCUAAGUGCACAAAUGAGUGUUAGAACAGAUCCUUCCUCCACCCAGCAGUAACAUCACUGCUUCCAACAAUCUCAGAAAUGAUUAAUUAUUGAACCUAGUUAUCCAUCUCUCUAGGUAACUAGCUAGCUUUGUGAUCUAUGAACAUCUUGAACAUUUUUUCACUAGAUUACUUCACUCAGUUAUAUUUUUCAUAUCUGAGUAUGCUAUUAUUUAAUAACUGUUAUUUUUCUUUUGUUGUGAAUUUGCUGUUGGCUCUUCAGUUUCUUAUUCUUGUUUUUCGUUACUGUGGUGUUUCUUUCUCAGCCUGGUUUCUAUUAUGCUCAUUUUCAUCUGUAAUAUUUAUCACUUUGGGCUUUUUACUUGGCUCCUGUAAUCAGUUAUUUUAAUGGAACGUCUUACCUUAAAUUAAACAUUUAAUCCAUGCAUGUAUGUGUGUUUUGUUGAUGUUUUUAUGGACUUGCUAUCUAGUUAGCUUGUCUAUCUAACUCGCUAGUUGUUUGUUGUUCGCUUCUUACAAAUGGACUUGUUGUUUUAUUGUUGUUUUGUAAAUGUUUUUAAAUUAUCGUUCCCAGUUUCAAUUCCUUAAAACUAAAUCUGAGUAUGCUGUUCUUUAAUAACUGUUGGAUAUUAUUUUUAUGUUGCAAGUUUGCCUUUCCUGUCUCUUAUUUCUCUAUAUAUUUACCUUUGUGUGAAUAUGCUUCCUCUUGUCGUUUUUAUAUUUUCUUAUUGAUUCUUGAGGUUUUGUGAAGCUUUGUUUGUGUUUUUCUUUGGACUUUGGCUGCUUUGUUACUUAAUGCAGCUCCUCUAGUUAUGCGUCAGCUGGAUUAUUUCAUGUUUCUUACAGAAAUUGUCAUGAUGUAGCUUUGUUUUUGUAUUUGAGUACUGCACCACGUCUGCUUGUUUAUCCAUUUAUUUGUCUAAUAACUGGUUCUCUGUUUUUGUUCUACUUU